UUAACUUCUUUUAUCUGGACUAUGUCAAUGCAAAUGAAAAGCAGAACAGAUUGCAGUCUUUAAAUACUGAAAGCUUACAAUAUUGACCAGGAAAAGGGCAAAAGCAAACCAAACCAAAGUCUCUGUGUGGUUAGCGGCAUCUGGAAAGCUCUUGUCCUAUAUUUACUCCUCUGCUUUGGUUCUUCCUGUGAACGAAGUCAUGCACGUGUCCAUUCCAAGGAAUUAGCAGAAAUGGAAGAAAUUGCUAGAGGAAGGUGGAUUUAAUGCAAACUUGAUAUCGCAUGUAGUCAAAGAAGGAAGAGUUCUGCCACCAUGGAGUCUGGGACACAAUCCAAAUCUACUCAUGAGUGAUGUAAUCCUCGGCCAGCUGUAUACCC